rnacentral:rRNA from 1 species
UUGAACGCUGGCGGCAGGCCUAACACAUGCAAGUCGAACGGUAACAGGAAGCAGCUUGCUGCUUUGCUGACGAGUGGCGGACGGGUGAGUAAUGUCUGGGAAACUGCCUGAUGGAGGGGGAUAACUACUGGAAACGGUAGCUAAUACCGCAUAACGUCGCAAGACCAAAGAGGGGGACCUUCGGGCCUCUUGCCAUCGGAUGUGCCCAGAUGGGAUUAGCUAGUAGGUGGGGUAACGGCUCACCUAGGCGACGAUCCCUAGCUGGUCUGAGAGGAUGACCAGCCACACUGGAACUGAGACACGGUCCAGACUCCUACGGGAGGCAGCAGUGGGGAAUAUUGCACAAUGGGCGCAAGCCUGAUGUAGCCAUGCCGCGUGUAUGAAGAAGGCCUUCGGGUUGUAAAGUACUUUCAGCGGGGAGGAAGGGAGUAAAGUUAAUACCUUUGCUCAUUGACGUUACCCGCAGAAGAAGCACCGGCUAACUCCGUG